rnacentral:rRNA from 1 species
AUUGAACGCUGGCGGCAAGCCUAACACAUGCAAGUCGAACGAGUGGCGGACGGGUGAGUAAUGUCUGGGGAACUGCCUGAUGGAGGGGGAUCACUACUGGAAACGGUAGCUAAUACCGCAUACCCUCGGAUGUGCCCAGAUGGGAUUAGCUAGUAGGUGGGGUAAAGGCUCCCCUGGGCGACGCUCCCUGGCCUGUCUGAGAGGAUGCACAGCCAGACGGGAACGGAGACACGGUACAGAAUCCAACGGGAGGCAGAAGUGGGGAAUAGUGCACGAGGGGCGAAAGCCUUAUGCAGCCAUGCCGCGUGUAUGAAGAAGGCCUUCGGGUGGUAAAGUACUUUCAGCGGGGAGGCGUUAACGGCAGAAGAAGCGCCGGCUAACUCCGUGCAAGCAGCCGCGGUAAUAC